UAGGGAAUCUUCCGCAAUGGGCGAAAGCCUGACGGAGCAACGCCGCGUGAGUGAUGAAGGUCUUCGGAUCGUAAAACUCUGUUAUUAGGGAAGAACAAAUGUGUAAGUAACUAUGCACGUCUUGACGGUACCUAAUCAGAAAGCCACGGCUAACUACGUGCCAGCAGCCGCGGUAAUACGUAGGUGGCAAGCGUUAUCCGGAAUUAUUGGGCGUAAAGCGCGCGUAGGCGGUUUUUUAAGUCUGAUGUGAAAGCCCACGGCUCAACCGUGGAGGGUCAUUGGAAACUGGAAAACUUGAGUGCAGAAGAGGAAAGUGGAAUUCCAUGUGUAGCGGUGAAAUGCGCAGAGAUAUAGAGGAACACCAGUGGCGAAGGCGACUCUCUGGUCUGUAACUGACGCUGAGGCUCGAAAGCGUGGGUAGCAAACAGG
rnacentral:rRNA from 1 species